CUCAGUUCGGAUUGGAGUCUGNAACCCGACUCCAUGAAGCUGGAUCCGCUAGUAAUCGCGUAUCAGCCACGGCGCGGUGAAUACGUUCCCGGGCCUUGUACACACCGCCCGUCAAGCCAUGGAAGCCGGGAGUGCCUGAAGUACGCGACCGCAAGGAGCGUCCUAAGGUAAAACCGGUGACUGGGGCUAAGUCGUAACAAGGUACC
rnacentral:rRNA from 1 species